UGCAAGUCGAGCGGUAGCACAGAGGAGCUUGCUCCUUGGGUGACGAGCGGCGGACGGGUGAGUAAUGUCUGGGAAACUGCCUGAUGGAGGGGGAUAACUACUGGAAACGGUAGCUAAUACCGCAUAACGUCUACGGACCAAAGCGGGGGACUUUCGGGCCUCGCGCCAUCAGAUGUGCCCAGAUGGGAUUAGCUAGUAGGUGAGGUAAUGGCUCACCUAGGCGACGAUCCCUAGCUGGUCUGAGAGGAUGACCAGCCACACUGGAACUGAGACACGGUCCAGACUCCUACGGGAGGCAGCAGUGGGGAAUAUUGCACAAUGGGCGCAAGCCUGAUGCAGCCAUGCCGCGUGUGUGAAGAAGGCCUUAGGGUUGUAAAGCACUUUCAGCGGGGAGGAAGGCGGUGAGAUUAAUACUCUCAUCGAUUGACGUUACCCGCAGAAGAAGCACCGGCUAACUCCGUGCCAGCAGCCGCGGUAAUACGGAGGGUGCAAGCGUUAAUCGGAAUGACUGGGCGUAAAGCGCACGCAGGCGGUUUGUUAAGUCAGAUGUGAAAUCCCCGAGCUUAACUUGGGAACUGCAUUUGAAACUGGCAAGCUAGAGUCUUGUAGAGGGGGGUAGAAUUCCAGGUGUAGCGGUGAAAUGCGUAGAGAUCUGGAGGAAUACCGGUGGCGAAGGCGGCCCCCUGGACAAAGACUGACGCUCAGG
rnacentral:rRNA from 1 species